rnacentral:tRNA from 1 species
UCCCUGGUGGUCUAGUGGUUAAAACUCCACGCUUCUAAUGUAAGGGCACAGGUUCAAUCCCUGUCAGGGGAC